rnacentral:rRNA from 2 species
UUCCUACGGGUGGCUGCAGUGGGGAAUAUUGGGCAAUGGGGGAAACCCUGACCCAGCAACGCCGCGUGAGGGAAGAAGGUUUUCGGAUUGUAAACCUCUGUUCUUGGUGAAGAGAAGAAGACGGUAGCCAAGGAGGAAGCCCCGGCUAACUACGUGCCAGCAGCCGCGGUAAUACGUAGGGGGCGAGCGUUGUCCGGAAUGAUUGGGCGUAAAGGGCGCGUAGGCGGCCCUGCAAGUCAGUAGUGGAAGUCCAUUUUUCAAGGGUGGAAGUGCUAUUGAAACUGCGGGGCUUGAGUAUGGGAGAGGUCAUCGGAAUUCCCGGUGUAGCGGUGAAAUGCGUAGAGAUCGGGAGGAACACCAGUGGCGAAGGCGGGUGACUGGACCAUAACUGACGCUGAGGCGCGAAAGUGUGGGGAGCAAACAGGAUUAGAUACCCGGGUAGUCC